GCAGUGGGGAAUAUUGGACAAUGGGCGAAAGCCUGAUCCAGCAACGCCGCGUGAGGGAUGACGGCCUUCGGGUUGUAAACCUCUUUCAGCAGGGACGAAGCGAGAGUGACGGUACCUGCAGAAGAAGGACCGGCCAACUACGUGCCAGCAGCCGCGGUAAUACGUAGGGUCCGAGCGUUGUCCGGAAUUAUUGGGCGUAAAGGGCUCGUAGGCGGUUUGUCGCGUCGGGAGUGAAAACUCAGGGCUCAACCCUGAGCGUGCUUCCGAUACGGGCAGACUAGAGGUAUUCAGGGGAGAACGGAAUUCCUGGUGUAGCGGUGGAAUGCGCAGAUAUCAGGAGGAACACCGGUGGCGAAGGCGGUUCUCUGGGAAUUACCUGACGCUGAGGAGCGAAAGCAUGGGGAGCGAACAGGAUUAGA
rnacentral:rRNA from 1 species